rnacentral:lncRNA from 1 species
GUGAGAGUGAGAGAGAGAGAAUAUUCACCUUGUCACGUAAAGACAAAUUCGAAAUCAAUGCCUAUGAGAUAAUUAAAAAAUUCGACGAUUAUAUAGCCUAUGAGUUAUGAGUAUCACCAAUAAGAUAACCACUCACUAUUUCUUAAUUACUCACUGCAUUUCAUUUUAAUUGUCGUUAUAAAUUUAUGCACAUAAAUUAAAAAAAUAUGAUUUUGUAUAUUUCCAAAAUAAAAACAUAAUUACCUAUACAUCUAACUAAUCAUAUUUCAAUCAAUAGAAAAAUAAAGUGAAGAAUCUUAUUAAUAAAUUUUACAUUAAAACUC